rnacentral:rRNA from 1 species
CCCUUAGAUGUUCUGGGCCGCACGCGCGCUACACUGAAGGAGGCAGCAUGUACUCCUGGAUCGAAAGAUUUGGGUAACCCGCGAAUCUCCUUCGUGCUAGGGAUUGAGGUUUGCAAUUAUCCUUCAUGAACGAGGAAUUCCCAGUAAGUGCAAGUCAUAAGCUUGCGCUGACUACGUCCCUGCCCUUUGUACACACCGCCCGUCGCUACUACCGAUUGAAUGAUUUAGUGAGGACUUCGGACUGGGACCGAUGCGGCUUUCGGGCUGCGUCGGUAUUCUGGAAAGAUGUCCAAACUGUAUCAUUUAGAGGAAGUAAAAGUCGUAACA